UAUUCUUCACAUAUAUACACAACCCCCAAGGGUCCAACAUAACUCUCUCCUUGUCAGCAGAAUGACUGUGAAGCAGCAUGCAUUUAUCAGGCCUCACACUUUGAAUUUUGAGUUGGAAUUUUCCUGGGCUUGCCAUGUGAAUGCUCAUUGACGCUGACAGCAGAAAUUUCCAACCAACCACACAGUCAUGAGGGGAAAUUGUUCACACAGUACCUGCUCUGGUGGCCUGAGCCUUGUUCCUGUUGGGUCAGGAGGAUUAGCGCCCACAAGGAGUUCUACAGGUCCCACCAGGUCAAAAGGGGCGUGACAAGAGCGUGUGUAUUCUCUCAGACUUAAUCAUUGUCUCCCCUUAGUUAUGCAAAUAAACGACCUUGGGCAAUUUUACAGGGAGAUUUAAUAAGGAAUGAGGUUAAAAGAAAGAAAAACAUAAGAGUCCGGGUGCGGGUGGUGCAGCCGGGAAAGUGAGUCCCCAGGCUGAAACACAGAACAGCCGGUAGUAAGACAAAGCAAGGUAGAGAGAACAAUUUUAGCUCCAGCCCAGGCCUGAAUGCCUGGAGAGAAUCGGCCCAGGGAAGACCCCUCAGCAUCCCUCAAGGGGUCCCCAGGGGCAGAUGAGUCACCAAGGAGCACCUGCAGAGCAGCAAGAUCAGAGCACAGGAAGGCACAGAGCUGGAGGAGCCAGCCUGAAGAGUGGGAGCUUUUUCUCUCCCUGAGCAUGUUCAAGUGAGCUCAGGACGCCCUGGUCAUGGACGCCAAGUGCCCCGGAAGUACAAAUAGGUGCUCCCAUCCCCCUCCAGUGGGGAAUGUUGGUGGAGUGAUCCCCUGGCAUUUUUUUAAGUCCUCAAACAAGCAUGCACCUCAACAUGUCUCCUUCAGGAGCUCCUGUAAUCUGGUGCCAAGAGACAUGUACGUGUAUACAACACACUAUCUACACAGUAUAACGCAUAAGAAAGCAGGGCUGUGUUCCUCCAAUAGAGCACCACAGGAGGGAGAAAAGGCAUCAUGCAUACUUGGACACUGGUAGGAGGGAGGUAAAAUUGUUAGCAUCCUACGUUCAGUCUUCCCUGCUCCUCCGUUUUCUGUGGGAUUUUAGACUCAAAGUAACAGAAUGUCCCAUAAUAUCUGAUAGUUCUCGAAGUGGAGAGUUAGUCACACUGGAGGUCGGAUGAGGGCCCAUAUGCCGCAUCCUGACCCCCACUGCGACACCUCUGGGAGAGCUACAGAUCAUAGCAGAAGCACCCAUAGCAGCACAAUGGCACAAUGUGGACUUUAGUUAGCAGGAGCAGAGGGAGGCACUGGCCGGAUGGCUCUCUUUGUUUGCAGGGUGGGCAAACAAUGGCUUGAAAGAAUAUCUCAGCUAGUCAUUACAAUAUACAAUCAGGUUUCCUGUCUGAAUCCAAACAGCCACUCUGACCUGUCUUCCCUCCACCACGGCACCUGGAGCUGGCUGUAGCUUUGUGCUCUCUCCUUGGGUGCUCUGCUUGGCCACAGUCCACACCCUUCUUUUUUGUGUGCCUGACACUGCAGCCUGUCCACACCGUGUUUUUCCACCAAGCUGGAGCCUCUCCCUCAUCUGUGUGACCUGCCCUGUCCUGCAGGCAUGCAGUUCUGAUUCUGCCUCUAGGGAGUUGCCCUUUCAAAAAAAAAAAAAAAAAGUCUUAGGAGAGCAGGCCAUACUCAUACGCAUACGCAUGCGCAGGGGAGCAGGAUGCACAGGGGAGCAGGACCUACCCAUACGCAUGCGCAUGAGCAUGUCCUUCCCUCCGUAUUAACUAGAGCUGAGUAACUAUGCUGCUUCAUUACACUCAGAAUUAUGUCGGCAGAUAUUUUCCCUCUUAAAAUUUCCUACAUCUGUUUGGAAAUAGGAAUCUGUAUCUACUGUUGUUAGCUGGGCCAUUUCUGUAGCUCUUAACCUUUCCCCUUGAAUCCGACAUCCCUUCUCCAGGCAAAGACUCUGACCUGGCCAUCCCCUUCGCUUGGGUGGUUGCCCAUUCUUUCUGCAUCUGGGAGACCAGAGCACUAACUAAGCUGUUGGCAGGAGAGGAGGCAGAGCUCUCCACCUGCUGUUAAACCCAAGCUCUACCCCAUAAGAGGAAUCACAGCUCUGGGGGCUGCCAAGCCACGCAGGACGCCCUGCUUCCUUACACUUUGUUUUUUCAGCCAGGUGGGGAAAAAGCACAACCCCCACCACUGUCCCAUGCCAGCUUAGGCGUGGGGUACACUCUCAUUUCCUCCUCUACACUCUGGGAGACCAGUGAGACGAGGUGCUCCCUGUGAGCAGAAGUGUCCUUUAGUCUUUAGACGGCACAUUACCUGCUUCAUGGGGGUUGGAGGGGGCGUACAUACCAUUCCCUGCCAGUAGAGACAGUGCUAGGCUUCCAUACAACUGGCUAUAAUCUUCUUCCUCCUCUCAUGGGACUAGGCCUUCUAGCACUGGGAACAGGACCCUGUGACACAAAACCUCUUGAGUUACUGUUAAUUAACUCUACAUCUAGACAGGUAUUGUGUUUCAAAUGGACAAUUUGCUCCUUAUGUACUCAUAUCUGUAAUAUCUAUCCAUCCAUCCAUCCAUCCAUCCAUCCACCCAUCCAUCCACGUUCAACCUCUGUCUGCCCUCUACCCAUCUAUCCAUCCCUCCACCUUCCAUCCAUCUUCCAUCUGUUUAUCUUCUACCUAUCAAUCUAUUCACACAUCCUUCCUUUCAUCCAUUCAUCCACCCAUCCACUACUCGCUCCACCGUCCAUUUAUCUUCUACCUAGCUCUCUGGAUGCUCAUCUAGAGUUAGAUAUCUGAUCAAGUAUCUUCACUGCCACCUGCCCAACAGGUGUUGGAGAAAAAAUGGACAGCGAAAUCACACGGGACCUCUGACCUCUGUACGGCUGACCCCCUGUUUGGUAGAGGACACUCGUAAAUUGAUUACUACAAAUGAACAGAACGUGUCUGUCAACUGUGACAAGGGCAGUGUGAGAUAAAUCAGCUGCAGUAGGAAAGCUUAGAAAGGGGGUUUGAUCCUGCUGUGAAGGACAAGUUCUGCCCGGCAAACAAGAGCAGGCAGCACUGAAGGAAGGAGGGUGAAGCUCCAGUGAGCAGCUGUAGAGCAUAGAAGCUGUACCCUGGAGACCUUGGCCAAGACAAGCAGCAUUGGACCUCUGACCUGGAUCCCAAAUGUUUCUUUUUCAUUGUGUGCACAGACAUGCUCAGUGCAAAAGCAGAGGACCCUGAAUUCGAGGAAGUGGCGUGGACACUACCUGGGAAGAGAAAUAUUGAAAGGACGAGUAUUCCACAGAUGUUGGGAUUCUCUGGAUUCAGGCAGGCGAGUACUAUGUGGUCUGAUGUUCCACCAUCCCGAAGGGGAGCAGCAGACUCUCCAUGCCAAUGAACAACACCGCCAGUCAAUGAUGCUGGGAACUCACUAUGGACGGUCAACUUGACAGACUAGAGAAUCGCCUAGGAGACAAACAUCUGGAUGAGUCGGUGGAGGAAGUUCUAGAUCAGGUUAAUUGAUAUAGGAUAUCCCACUCCACAUGUGAGUGGCACCACUCUGUCCUGAGCUGAAUAAGAGAAAGUGCAUCUCA